AAUGUAUUUUACACUAAAAAAAAACAGAUCUAAGUAAUCCCAACUCUAAACUUUCAAAAAUUUGCCUAAUGCAACACCAUAAUAGUUUUUCAUGUUCAAACCAA